rnacentral:rRNA from 1 species
GAGUUUGAUCAUGGCUCAGAAUGAACGCUGGCGGCGUGCUUAACACAUGCAAGUCGCACGAGAACUCUUCUGCUUGCAGAAGAUAGUAAAGUGGCGCACGGGUGAGUAACGCGUGGGUAAUCUACCUCUGAAUUGGGGAUAACAUUGUGAAAGCGAUGCUAAUACCGAAUAAUAUCCCGAGAACUCUGGCUUUUGGGAUCAAAGGUGGCCUCUACAUGUAAGCUACUGAUUGGAGAUGAGCCCGCGUACCAUUAGCUUGUUGGCAGGGUAAUGGCCUACCAAGGCAACGAUGGUUAGCUGGUCUGAGAGGAUGAUCAGCCACACUGGAACUGACACACGGUCCAGACUCCUACGGGAGGCAGCAGUGAGGAAUUUUGCGCAAUGGGGGAAACCCUGACGCAGCAACGCCGCGUGAGUGAUGAAGGCUUUCGAGUCGUAAAGCUCUGUCAAGUGAGAAGAAACUACUUUUUGUUAAUACCAUUAAGUACUGACGGUACCACUGAAGGAAGCACCGGCUAACUCCGUGCCAGCAGCCGCGGUAAUACGGAGGGUGCAAGCGUUAUUCGGAAUUAUUGGGCGUAAAGGGCGCGUAGGCGGUCUUUUAAGUCAGAUGUGAAAGCCCGGGGCUCAACCCCGGAAGUGCAUUUGAAACUAAGGGACUUGAGUAUGGGAGAGGGAAGUGGAAUUCCUGGUGUAGAGGUGAAAUUCGUAGAUAUCAGGAGGAACACCGGUGGCGAAGGCGACUUCCUGGACCAAUACUGACGCUGAGGCGCGAAGGCGUGGGGAGCAAACAGGAUUAGAUACCCUGGUAGUCCACGCAGUAAACGAUGAACACUAGGUGUAGCGGGUAUUGACCCCUGCUGUGCCGCAGUUAACGCAAUAAGGUCCGCCUGGAGAGGGCAG